UUAAUUUGACUGAACCUGAUUUCCUCCUGGAGCCCGGUUACCGCUGUAAGUCGCUGUUGCUGUGAUUGUCCUCUAGAUGGCAGUAGUACACAGCACACUGAUAGCGGAGGCGCUGGAGUAAAAGCUCAGAACAAGCAACAUUAAACUCGUGUUGAAGAUGAGAAGAAACAAAGAGGCUACACUUCAGCUUUUAUAAACUCUAGAGAGAUUAUUUAGCGAACACGACACAACUCCUGCCUUUAUUCAUUAUAUCCUGGCUCUUGACUGUCAAUUCCUCUGUGAAAGCGAUCAGGAAUAGCGGACUUUUAACGUGUUCAUAUGUAAACAGGCCUGAUGGAGGACACACACCGUCAUGAGAAAAUGAGUGAAAAAACUGACUCAGUGAAGAGAAAAGACAAAGAAUGUGUCACCUGCCCUCAGUGUGGGAAGAGUCUGGCACACAAACAGAGUCUCAGGAAACACAUGAAGAUCCACACUGGAGAGAAACCAUUCAUAUGUACUCAGUGUGGGAAGACUCUUGCAAACAAACAGAGUCUCGGGUGUCACAUGAGGGUCCACACCGGAGAGAAACCGUUCACAUGUUCUCAGUGUGGGAAGAGUUUCAGAAACUUAUCAAACCUUAUUAAUCACAUGAUGAUCCACACUGGAGAGAAAACACAUCAAUGUGAUCAAUGCAGCAAAACAUUUUUGAGGGCUUCAGAUCUGAAGAGCCAUCUUAGAGUUCAUACAAAGGAGAAGCUUUAUCCAUGCUCUGACUGUGGAAAGAGUUUCAGACAUCAAGUUAGUUUAAGAAAUCAUCAGAAGAUGCACACCGGUGUGGGAGAGUACAGGUGCUUUGAGUGUGAGAAGACCUUUAUUUCGGCUGAAAAUUUGAAAAUACAUGAGAGAAUUCACACUGGAGAGAAACCUUACAUUUGUUCACUGUGCAAUAAGAGAUUCAGUCAGUUUGAACAAAUGAAAACACAUGCGAGGGUUCACACUGGAGAGAAACCGUACAAGUGUUCACACUGUGACAAGAGAUUCAGUGAUUCAGGAAAUCUGAGACAACAUGUAAGGAUUCACACUGGAGAGAAACCGUACAAGUGUUCUCAUUGCGACAAGAGAUUCAGAGAUUUAGGAAAUCUGAAAAAACAUGAGAGGAUUCACACUGGAGAGAAACCUUACAGGUGUUCCCACUGCGACAAGAGAUUCAGACAGUUAGGAGGCCUGAAAACACAUGAGAGGAUUCACACCAGAAAGAAACUGUACGAUCACACCGAAAGCAGCGAGAGCGUCAAAGUAGCCGUAAGUCAAUGAGAGCUGGCGGUGAGGAGCAGCGCGGCACGUCUUGGCCGGUUUAGAUGUCCACUGCUUGAGAGGAGUCCAGAGAACAAAGUCACUGUAAACUUUGGUUCCGACCACCACACAUUUUCCCAAGAGUUUGAUUAUUGCGGUCGUCGGAUUUCCAGUUAUUUGCAAUGUUUUCUUACAUUUCUAAUUGAUCCUCCAUAGUUAAAUGAAUUUGAUAAUAAGUGUGCAACAUUGUCACUCUAGAAAGCAUGUUUGACGUGGGAAUGUAACUGAUAUGAUCUGCUGCAACAGCCCCUUAAAACGGCCCCUCAGGGCUCUCUACUGGGACAGCAUGCCAAAUAUGCUUUAUAAUCAAUCGUCAGCUAAGUGUGAACUCUUGAAUGUGUUGUGAUUGGCGGAUCGGAUUUACGUCACCAGGAAGUGACCGUGUCACCGUGUCAGUGAAGCCAUAUCAGUUUGAGCCUGAGUCAGACACAGAAAAUGAAGAGGACACAGCUGAAGCCAUGCAAACGUGACUCUUGCAAGAUGUUUCAGAAUGGUCAUUGCAGAUCCACAUACAGGUUUAUUACAAGAGAAUGGUCAGGCAAGCAACGGUCGACACAGGGGCAAACGGAUGUAUACAGGCAAAUCCAGGGUCGUGGUCAUACAACAGGUGGAGGGUCAAAAGGCAGGCAGCAGACAGGAAUAAACAAUAAAACAAGGCAAGGGUCUAAGACUGCAAGGACAUAUGGUUAGGGAUUGAUGACGUGAAACUGAUGUUUCGACACCCCAAAGCACAAGUGUUUGAAACACUGCACUGAAGCAUGAUCCGAAACAGCCAGGUCACAUGAUUGAGGUGAUUUAAAACAACAGGUUAAGUGAAUAAAGCGAUUCAAAGCUUUGAUCAUUUCAGAAGCGUUUUGAGACUUGUCGAAUCUGCGUUUGACUGACGGGGUCUGGAAAAUCCUCUAUAUCAUGUAGCCUAGUGGGCUAUUGUGUGCUCAAAGUAACUACUGCAGAGUCUUGUACAAAUACUCUGAAAUUAUGAUUUGAUGUAUUUUAAUAAUGUUACUUUAUGUUUUAUAACCAAAAUCAAGACACAUUUAUUCACAAAGUGUUCAUUCGGAUGUCAGACCAAUGUUAAAACAAAUCACGUUACAAGAGCAGAGCAUUUACAAACUAAUAUUCAGAACUGUAUCACCCUGGGGUCCAACCCAUUAUUUCUCUAUGCUAGUCAGGAACUCUCACCGCUCCACUAAUUCACUUGAAACCUCAACUCUACAGCGUGGGGUUUAAUACAUCAAUUUGCUGAACUGUUUCUUUGCUAAAG